UCUACUGGGAUAAAAUGUGUAGUCUGGCCUGCCCACUGAAAUUUAAAGGGCCGCGGUAUCUGAACCGUGCUAAGGUAGCAUAAUCAAUAGUCUCUUAAUUGGGGUCUAGAAUGAACGGUCGGACGAAAAAUUAGCUGUCUUGCAUGUAAAAUUGAACUUUACUUUUAAGUGAAAAGGCUUAAAUUCAAUGAAGGGACGAUAAGACCCUAUGAAGCUUAAUGUAAAUUAUUUUAAAGUAACUUUAAAUAAUUGGGUGUUUUAUUUUUAUAAUGNUUUACAUUGUGCUGGGGCGGCUGUAAUAUAAAUUUAACUGUUAUUCGGUAAAAAAUAAUUAUAUUUAGAUAAAUUUGAUCCUUUACUUACGGAUUACAAGAUUUAAGUUACUCUAGGGAUAACAGCGUAAUUCUUCUUGAGAGUUCAUAUCGACAGAAGUAGUUGCGACCUCGAUGUUGAAUUAAAAUUUCAUUAAGGUGUAGGAGCUUUAAUAGUAGGUCUGUUCGACCUUUAAAAUUUUAC
rnacentral:rRNA from 1 species